UCCUGCUGGAAUUUUCAUGGAUUUGGAUUUUUUUCCUUGGACUUUGGAUUUUUCCUGCCGGGAAUUCCCAGAUUUGGGGGUUUUUUUCCUGCUGGGAUUUCCAUGGAUUUGGGGAAUUUCCUGCUGAGAAUUCCAAGUUUUUGGGGUUUUCCCUGGGAAUUUCCCCCCCCUUGGAAUUUUUUCCCCCUGGAUUUUUUCCCUAGGAAUUUUUCCUUUGGGAAUUUCCCCCUUUGGGAAUUUUUCCCUGGGAAUUUUUCCCCUCCCUCCAUCCCCAAACCCCCAAAUCCCUCCCCCCAACCCAUUCCCAUGGAAUUCCUGGAAAAUCCCCCUGGAAUCCCUCUGGAAUUCUGGGAAUCCCUCUGGAAUUCCGGGAAUCCCUCUGGAAUUCUGGGAAUUCCCCUGGAAUUCUGGGAUCCCCCUGGAAUUCUGGGAAUCCCUCUGGAAUUCCUGGAUAAUCCCCCUGGAGAAUCCCUCUGGAAUUCUGGGAAUUCCCCUGGAAUUUCCCUGGAAUUCUGGGAUCCCUCUGGAAUUCUGGGAAUUCCCCUGGAAUUCCGGGAAUCCCCUGGAAUUCUGGGAAUCCCCCUGGAAUUCUGGGAAUCCCUCUGGAAUUCUGGAAUCACUCUGGAAUUCCUGGAUAAUCCCUCUGGAAUUCUGGGAAUCCCCCUGGAAUUCUGGGAUCCCCCUGGAAUUCCGGGAAUCCCCUGGAAUUCUGGAAUCCCCCUGGAAUCCCCCUGGAAUUCUGGGAUCCCUCUGGAAUUCUGGGAUCCCCCUGGAAUUCUGGGAUCCCCCUGGAAUUCUGGGAUCCCCUGGAAUCCCUCUGGAAUUCUGGGAUCCCUCUGGAAUUCCGGGAAUCCCCUGGACCACUCACCGCCAGCCCCGUUGCCGUGGCCACGCGCUCGGCGCCGUUUCCCAGCGGGAAUUUCUUCUCCUUGUAGGGAAUUUCCGAAUCCAACUUUUCCAGGAGCAGCUCCAGGAUUUGGGAAUUCAGCGCCGGCUCCGACCCCAGCGCCCUCCACAUGGAGCAGGUGGAGCUGCAAAAUUCCCGGGAAUUGCCCGGAAUUCCGGGGAAA
rnacentral:lncRNA from 1 species